GCCAGCAUGGCACAGUGGUUUCAGUGUUGGACUACGACUCUGGAGACCAGGGUUUGAUUCCCAGCUCGGCCA